UCCACCCCAGACUUUGCACCCCACUUUGUUCAGAAGGGUCCCCAACCUUUUGAAGCAGGUGCCGCUUGCUGUGAACUUUAGUAAGUUCACUUAUCUUUGAGUCAACACCCAUGUGGCAAUCAUAUUAUUGUUAUCAAAGCCAUAACAAAAAGCCAUUUCAGGAAAGUGUCUGCCUCUUGUUUGGACUUUUAUCUAAUGGAGAAGUCAAGCAGAAACUCCAAGUUCAGUUUCCCAGGCAUCAUCCCACCUGCUUCUCACAUGGGUGUCUGGGGGAGGUAUACACACAAAAAACCAAGUGUCUCUUGGAGUCCCCAAAUCUGCCCUUGAAGUGAUCAUGAGCAGGAGGAAUGUCAAACAUUUCCACAAGCAAAUUUUAUUUCCUCUGCCCUUGGGAAAUAGGUAUGAUUUGAAAUACUUGGCAUGGCAUGAGGUAAAAAAUAACACAACUGCACAAAGUAACAACUGCAAUUCUGACUGAUCCAUUCAGCGAUGCCUAUGAUUUCUUGUCUCCUACAACUACAUAGGCUCCAACAAAUAGAUUGUGUUCCUCACCAAACUAAAACACACAGAGACACACACACACACAAAGAGCUCACAAACUUUUGCAUUCUGCAUUUGGAAUCUGUUCUCUGGUACUUCAGAGAGGUUCCCUAUAUUGAAUUUGAGAAAGUCUCUGUACUUCAUUUUCUCCUACCUUCAAAAUAUUUUAAUUUUUAAUAUGAAUUUUAAUAUUUUAUUAAUUCUAGAAGAUAAAAGAAGAGAAUCUUGUACAGCAGGGAAAAGGCAUGUACUUCAUGACAAAAAGAUCUGGUCACAUUUGACAAUGCAAGCUUCAUUAACUAAAUGAUUUUGAUAACUUCACAGAUUAUGUUUUCAUAUUUAUUCUUGGGAGAACAAAGAGUUCAUUUUGAAAAAAGAUGAUGUUGUGAUCAAUAGUUGCCUCACAUUAGCAGCCAAGCGUGCCACUUGCUCUCCUGUCAAUUAAAUUGUCUGUUCAAGUCAUUAUCUUGUUCUUAGAACUCCAUUAUAUUCUUUAUCACAUUCAGUUGUACAAAUAAGAUUCACAGUGAUCAUGUAUGAUGGAGGAAACCUGCCUUGCAUUGCCAAGACCUGGGUGGGUUGGCUAGGCAGAGUAGCUUUGACUCAGUUUCACCCGACAGGAUAUUCAGUGCAGCACCAAGGGCCAUGAUAGAAGGUCUGGCGACAGACCUUCACCUUGGCUUAACAUCUUGGGUUAGGCUAUGAGGGCCUGUACCUGGUGUUGGACCCAAGAGACAAAAUAAGGGUGCUGUUGGUCUGCUGCCCUUCCUGUUGCCCAAUGGACUUCCUGAUCAAACUGACUGAGCUGGUCUCAGAUGUGGUGUUGGAAAAUCCCAAGACACUGGUCCUGGGGGAUUUCAACAUCCAUGCUGAUGUCACCUGGCAGGACCAGCUUAGGACUUCAGAUGCUCUGGGGCAACAAUGGGGCUGUCUCAGUUUGUCAUUAUCAGAACAUAGUCUCUAUUCAACCUCUGUCUUAGGGUGUGAAGGGGGUGAUCUGGAUUUUGUUGGCAUUUUGUCAUGAUCAAAUCACUGUCUGGUGAAAUUUGGUCUCAUAAUGCCAGUCCCCUUGCAGGGUUGGAGAAACUAUUGAGAUGGUCAGCUCCUGGAAACUAAUGGAAUCAUAGAAUUGUAGAGUUGGAAGAGACCCUAAGUGUCAUCUAGUCCAUCACAACUAAAGCAUCCCUGACCCUGGGAACUCCACCGCUGGGCAUCUAGAUGGCCACUGUGAAAGAAGACAUAGGAUUAUAUAGGUCAUUGGCUUAAUCUAGCAAUGUAUUUUUAUGUUCUUAUGCCCUGUUCUUUUUAGUUAUUAAUAUUUUACCGAAUGUUUGAUUGACAGACUCUCUCAUUUUAUUGAUUUUUUAUUUGUAUUUUUAGUUAUAAUGUUGAACAUUGAUUUUUCUCUUCUUUUUUAAUGAACUGGUGGUGGUAUAGCAGUUAGAGCAUUUGCAUUAAAAUGGUAUAUAAAUAAUAUGUAUCAUAUUUUUUGCAAGGCAAGAUCACUUCAAUAUGUUUUAUUCUGUCCUGUAGAUAAGAUGUAUAUGUAUACUUAUCUCUACAGUUAGCUGAUAUCAACAUCAAAAAUUCAAGCAGAGACCAAAUAUAACACAUAUAUGUUUGUGGAUAAGAAUCAAAUUGUGCCCUGGCUUGAUGGGUUGGCUCAAACUCUAAAAUGUCAUUGACUACGAAACUGAGAGCAAUCUGCAUAGGGAAGCGUUAGUGUGAUCAAUGGUUAGAGGAAGAGAGCCAGCCACUCAAUUAAUGCAUCCCAUGCUCUACAGCAGAAUGACCUAUAAUUUAUACAUCCCCAGAUGAAGCUGAAAUGAAUAUUCUCAGCUAUUUGAAAUUAGUGCUUAAAAGUUUAGCAUUGAAUUUCCAAACUUAUGACUGAGAAAGCAAAUCUCAGCUGAAAUCUGUAUUGUUUUCUAGAAAGCCUCCAAUAAGCUUUUUCCACUGGUCAUACCAUAUUACUGUCAGGGGACCUGAGGACUGACCUUGAAACUAGGGAUGGCUAGCUAGCAUGGAUUUUUUAAUUAUUUUUUUGCCACAGAGAGUAUAUCACCCCUUUAAGAGAAUAAGAAUUUGCAACAUCAGUCCCUCUGGAAUGGCAAAACAGCAUAAACGGCCUUUUGCACUUGCCUCACCACCUCUGAGGGAUAAAGACAGCUGCCUGAUACAGAGUCAAGCAACUGGUCCAUCUAGCUUGGAAUUACCAACAUUGACUGGCAGAGAUUCUCCGGGGCUUCAAGCAGCCCUACCUGGAUAUGCCAAGGACUGAACCUCAAACCUUUUGCACAUGAAGCAGAUGCUGUACCACUGAGCUACUGUCCUUCCCCUUCUGCCUUCUCAGGACUGGCCCAAGACAUUUCACUGCCUGAGACAGGAUGACCCAAGUCCACGGAAGCCGACUGCACUCACAGACUGGCAGCUGAAUCUUUUAUCAAAACUGCCCACAAAACUUCAUCACACCUGAAGACUUAGAGGACACAGGGAAGGGCAUGUGGCACACAUAGUUUGGUCCUCUAACACCUUGCUGCUCUUCCCAGAACUUUAGCACCCACUAACUGAUGCAGAUCACUAUCAAAUGGUAGGACUGGCCCUUUGCAUUCCAUGCUCUGUCUCCAGCUCCAGCCCCCAGCUCCAGAGACUAACUUCAGGGCCCCUAAGUUGAAGAACUUAAUUUCCAGACCUUGCUGCCUAUGGUGAUGAGGAAACCCCGUAUCUACUGAAAAACAUUUUCUUCUUGACUUCUUCAUGUUCUUGGACUGUACCAUGCCACUGAAACGUGGUGGUGUGCUGUGGCUCAGCUUAGCCAUUGAAAUGCAGCUACUGUGGCCUUGGAAAUAUGUCCUAGUUACCUCUGAUCUGUCCUACACAUGACAUAGGAAACCCCAUAUUUGCAGGAUGAAAGUCCUCCUCAUUCCACACGGCAUGUGAUGUUUUUGAACAGUUCAGUAAAUUGUCCUUGAGUUUCCAGCUUCCCACAUGUACAGCACUAGUUGUUAUCUAUGCAGACAUGCACACACAAUUGUGUGAAUUAAUGUUGCAGUUGGAAGCAUUGUAGGCUGAGACCUUGCCUUCCAAAAGUUGAGGGGUGAGAGAACAGCUAGCAUACGGCUCCAAAACAAUUUGAGGUUAUGCCCAGCUAACGAUCCCCAAAGCAAACAAAACCUACUGACAAAGUUUGUUGUGCAUUUUUCAAAUGAGCACAGUUAUUAUUCUGCCUCUGCAGUUCAUUCCCAGGCCAACACAUAACUAUGCUUUAUCACAGACAGGAAAGUUAUACUAGUCAAAAGCUCAGUUAAUGAGUUUAAGAAGUGAUUAUAAGCUACCACAAUUCUCGAUGCACUGUGCUCUACAGUAAUAAUCCAAAUUGCCUGUGACUUAUGAUUAUAUUUGGCAACAACUCCGAGCUCCCACUCUAGUGUGAAAUUAACACCACAGACUGUAGCAAUGGUAUUUAUUGAGCACAAGGGAGUAGAUUAUGGCCUCAUAAAUUCAGAGGCAACCUCUGCUAUUACUUAAUUAGAAUCAGAAUCUCUGCAUUAAGUUCACAACUGCACUUGGCAGGGCUCCUGUAGUCAGGAAACUGUCGGGAUAUUCAGGAUACAAUUUAGAACCCCAAACUUUUGGUAGGCAAAUUCACAAUUAACUAUGAGAAACGGAGCUAGAACUUGGGUGGACUAGUCUAUGCUUAGCCUAGAGAGCAUUCUGAAAUCCAUGUGUGAAUCAUGGUCUGGAUCCCUGCUUACAUUAUAAACAACAUGGUUACUUCUUCCCCUAUACUCCUCACAGCAAAGCUCUCUUUUACCUGAUCUGUUCUGUGCAACCAACUAAACUACUGUAAUUGGAAAGGGUAUUGGAUAAAGUGGCAAAAAAUGGCAAAAAUGUGGUUUAAAGCAUACUCUGACAGUGUGGAAAGGUCCUAAAUAUGUAUGAGAUAAUUUAUUUAUUUUUCUUUUUUAAAAAAUAUUUUUAUUAGCAAAUUU
rnacentral:lncRNA from 1 species